rnacentral:ncRNA from 1 species
AUAUAAUAUAUAUAUAUCAUAUAUAUUAUAAUAUUAAUUAGAUAAUUUAAAAUAAAAUAAUAAAAAGAACAUGAUGUUGGUUCAGAUUAAACGCUAAAUAAGGACAUUACACAUGCAAAUUAAACGUUUAUUAUAUAUGUAAUAUAAUAAAUAUGUAGUGUACACGUGAGUAAAAUUUGGAAUUUUUAACUAUAAAUAAAGUUAAAUGCUUUAUAGUAUUUAUAUAUAAAUUUAUAUAUAUAAAUAUAAAGAUUAUAUAAUUAUAAUAUAAUUGUUUAUAGUAAAGCCAAUAUUGGUUUAAGAUAGUAGGUAAAUUAAAAGUUAUACCUAGUCGACGAUCCAUAAUCGAUAAUUAACGUUAGAACGAUCACGUUGACUUUGAAAUAUAGUCAAUAUCUAUAAGAUACAGCAGUGAGGAAUAUUGGACAAUGAUCGAAAGAUUGAUCCAGUUACUUAUUAGAAUGAUAUAUUAAUUAUUAAUAUUAAAAAAAUAAUAUAUAUUUAUAUAUAUUAUUAUAUUAUAUUAAAUAAAAAUAAUAUUAAUUGAUUAACAAUAAAGUUCAUAAAUAAUUAAAAUAAUGAUAUUAAUUACUUGUAUUAAUUACAAGUAUAUUUAUAUAUAUAUUUAUAUAUAUAUAGAUAUAUUUAAUAGUCCUAACCAAAAUUUGUGCCAGCAGUUGCGGUAAAACAAUGGGGGCAAGCGUUAAUCAUAAUGGCUUAAAGAAUUCGUAGAAUUAUAUAUAUUAUAUAUAUAUUAGAGUUAAUAAAUAUUAAUUAAAGAAUUAUAAUAGUAAAGAUGAAAUAAUAAUGAUAAUUAUAAGACUGGUAUACGUGAAAAUAUUAAUUAAUUAUUAACUGACAUUGAGGAAUGAAGGCUAGAGUAGCAAUCCGGAUUCGAUACCCGAGUAGUUCUAGCAGUAAACUAUGAACACCAAUUUUUAAUAUAUAAUAUUAAAAAUAAAAUGAAAAUGUAAGUGUUCCGCCUGAAGAGUACGUUCGCAAGGAUGAAAUUCAAGACAAUAGACGGUUACAGACUUAAGCAGUGGAGCAUGUUAUUUAAUUCGAUGAUCCCCGACUAACCUUACCAUAUUUUGUAUAUUUAUUUAUAUAAUUUAUAUAAAUAAUUACAGGCGUUACAUCGUUGUCUUCAGUUCGUGCUGCAAAGUUUUAGAUUAGUUUCAUGAACGAACAAAUCUCCAUAUGUAUAUUUAUCAAUUAUACAUAAUAUUUUAUAUCUAUUGGAUAUAUGAUGAAAGGAAUUAAGACAAAUCAUGAUGAUCCUUAUAAUAUGGGCUAUAGACGUGCUAUAAUUAAAUGAUAACAAAACUAUAUUAAAUUAUUAUAAAAAAUAAUAAAUUAAUAGUAUAAAACAUUUAAAUCUUUAAUAUAUUACUAUAUUAUUUAUAAUAUGGAUUAAUAUCUGAAAUUCGAUAUUAUGAAAAAAGAAUUGCUAGUAAUACGUAAAUUAGUAUGUUACGGUGAAUACUUUAACUGUUUCGCACUAAUUACUCAUCACGCGUUGAAACAUAAUGUUAUCUAAAUAUAUUUAUAUAUUUAUAUAUUAUAUAUAUCUUAUUAUAUAUAAUUAUAUUUAUAUUAUAAAUAUAUAAGAAAUAUUACGAAUUAAUGCGAAGUUGAAAUACAGUUACCGUAGGGGAACCUGCGGUGGGCUUAUUAAUAUCUCUAAUAUUCUCUU